rnacentral:rRNA from 1 species
CAGUCGCCGCGGGAAUACGUAGGUCCCGAGCGUUGUCCGGAUUUAUUGGGCGUAAAGCGAGCGCAGGCGGUUAGAUAAGUCUGAAGUUAAAGGCUGUGGCUUAACCAUAGUACGCUUUGGAAACUGUUUAACUUGAGUGCAAGAGGGGAGAGUGGAAUUCCAUGUGUAGCGGUGAAAUGCGUAGAUAUAUGGAGGAACACCGGUGGCGAAAGCGGCUCUCUGGCUUGUAACUGACGCUGAGGCUCGAAAGCGUGGGGAGCAAACAGGAUUAGAUACCCCAGUAGUCCCUGUCUCUUAUACA